CAGGCCCAAACCAUGUGGUCAAUCUCCCAGGCUUCACCAUUCUAUUGUGAGACGGGAGCAGGGUUAAAGGACGACUGAAAUGACUAAGUAGGGAUCUCUGAUACAAUCUGCCUGUCUGAAUCAAUGUGAGGGAGACAUGGGUUUCAGUUUAGCGGGUCACGAUGGUUGCAUAUGACCCCAGCUCCGCAGGGAGGUCUACGUCUCUUAUGUCCCCUGUUCAUUUUUUGCCUCAAAUCUGGGUCAAAGGAUGAAAGAAUCACCCCUACUCGCUAUGACUCUAACACACACUGACGCUCGCCCAGCCUGCUCUGAAAAACGGCUUCCUGGAGAUUUGAGUAGUAACAAGGUGCCAUUGUGAAGGACACUGUCAAGAAUUACAACAGCAGCCUCGUUGUCCUAAAUCUAGA